rnacentral:misc_RNA from 1 species
UGGUGGCCAUUUCAUAGUAC